AUCUUAGUGCAAGGGUUUUACACAUAGCAGUGAGAGUCCGCUCGAGCUUGUGUUUUUGCUAGUUGAAAACUACUACCUGACCGCUCCUACCUGAUCUUAUAUAUCGGUAGGGAAUUUUUGGAACACAAAUUCU
rnacentral:snRNA from 1 species